rnacentral:rRNA from 1 species
AAGCGAAGCCGCGAGGUGGAGCAAACCCAAAAAAGACAGUCUCAGUUCGGAUUGAAGGCUGAAAUUCGCCUUCAUGAAGCCGGAAUUGCUAGUAAUGGCAGGUCAGCAUACUGCCGUGAAUACGUUCCCGGGCCUUGUACACACCGCCCGUCACACCAUGAGAGUUGGGAAUACCCGAAGCCUGUGAGCUAACUGUAAGGAGGCAGCAGUCGAAGGUAGAAUCAAUGAUUGGGGUGAAGUCGUAACAAGGUAAC